rnacentral:rRNA from 1 species
GACGAACGCUGGCGGCGUGCUUAACACAUGCAAGUCGAACGGAAAGGCCCUGCUUUUGUGGGGUGCUCGAGGGGCGAACGGGUGAGUAACCCGUGAGUAACCUGCCCUUGACUUUGGGAUAACUUCAGGAAACUGGGGCUAAUACCGGAUAGGAGCUCCUGCUGCAUGGUGGGGGUUGGAAAGUUUCGGCGGUUGGGGAUGGACUCGCGGCUUAUCAGCUUGUUGGUGGGGUAGUGGCUUACCAAGGCUUUGACGGGUAGCCGGCCUGAGAGGGUCACCGGCCAAAUUGGGACGGAGCUACGGCCCAGACUACUACGGGAGGCAGCAGUGGGGAAUAGUGCACAAUGGGCUGAAGCCUGACGCAGCAACGCCGCGUGCGGGAUGACGGCCUUCGGGUUGUAUACCGCUUUCGCCUGUGACGAAGCGUGAGUGACGGUAAUGGGUAAAGAAGCACCGGCUAACUACGUG